rnacentral:rRNA from 1 species
AUUGAACGCUGGCGGCAUGCCUUACACAUGCAAGUCGAACGGUAGAGUAGCAAUACUUGAGAGUGGCGAACGGGUGAGUAAUAUAUCGGAACGUGCCCAGUCGUGGGGGAUAACGUAGAGAAAUUUACGCUAAUACCGCAUACGAUCUAAGGAUGAAAGCGGGGGAUUCGCAAGAACCUCGCGCGAUUGGAGCGGCUGAUAUCAGAUUAGGUUGUUGGUGAGGUAAAAGACUCACCAAGCCGACGAUCUGUAGCUGGUUUGAGAGAACGACCAGCCACACUGGGACUGAGACACGGCCCAGACUCCUACGGGAGGCAGCAGUGGGGAAUUUUUGGGACAAUGGGCGAAAGCCUGAUCCAGCAAUGCCGCGUGCAGGAAGAAGGCCU